AUGGAGGAGCUGCACGCGAGUAUGUCUUCGUCCUGGCGCUGCUCUGGCCCGCCGGCUCCGUCGUCGGUGGCGGCCGCAGCUUGGGUGCGUUUUCGCGGGGACGCCGCUUGGUUGGAGGCUGCGUCUCAUCGGCGUUUUGUUCUUCCGGGGCUCACUCCAUCUCGAGCUCGUCUUCUCAGACGGGAUCGAUGGGCCAUCGGCGUAGAUUCCUGCCGCUCGUCUUGGGCGGUGAGGUUAGGUUUGGCCUGGCCGGCGUGCGCGGCGGCGGGCUUGGUGUGCUCGGGUUUGGUCGAGGAGGCGGCGCUGUCGACCAAAUCAGGAGUUUUGCUUCCUCGGCUUUGUCUCUGCCACGUCGACACGUUCUCCGGUGUCGAUGAGAAGCCGGUGGAGUCCUGUACAGGAGUGCUUUGGCCGGCGAUGGUCAUCCCGAUGGUGGCCGCGACGGCUGGCGAGAGAUUUGGUGGCCCAAUGCUCGGAUGGUGGCUCGUGGCUGCAGUUCUGGAGAUUCUCCUUCGACUUCAUUGGAUGGAGGUGCCGGAGCUGCGGCCGAGGUGCAUGGGGAUGAUCCCCGGUCGACGCGCCACAGCGGCAACGCCUCACCGUUCGCGGCGGGGUUCAUAUUCGACUCACAAAGCCGUUUCCGGCAAUGGUGUAUCCUCGGUCAAGGGUUUGCUGGAUAUCUGCAUUUUCCUCUGGCGUUCGUCUCGACGACGACGGCAGUCGACGACAGGAGAUGGUUUCAUUUGUGGAUUGGCCCCCAGGGUCCUCAUUGUAUUUUUCUUUCUUUGGGGGUCUUUUCGCAUGUGUGUUGGGACACGUGUGGUCUCUCAGGGUCUUUCGACGAUGCUGCGUCUGUGCUACAUCUGUAUCCGUUUCUGGAUAAGGUUUAAUGCAGUAUUCUUCUAA
rnacentral:rRNA from 1 species